rnacentral:rRNA from 1 species
UACGGGUGGCGCAAGUGUUACUCUUCUUUAUUGGGCGUAAAGGGUGUGUAGGCGGUAUAACAAGUUCUAGGCUAAAUUACACAAAAUCUAUAUUAAAUAUGUUAUUGUCUUUUAAACUGUUAUACUUGAGUUUUUAUAGGAUGACGGAACGUUUAAUAGAGAGUUUAAAUGCGUUAUUAUAUUAAAUGGAACGCUAAAGGCGGAAGCAGUUUUCUACUAAAAUACUGACGCUUAGGCACUAAGGCGUAGGGAGCAAAUCGG